CCGCAGCUUCCCAGUCCCAGGACCGGGGGACGCGCACCUCUGCUCCGGCGCGGGUCAGGCCGUGGCGGAGGGACUGGCCUGUCCCUUCCUCCGCGCCGGUCCCAGCCCCGCGGCUGCCGCCGCGCUCCGAGCCCGCAUUCCCGAGCUGCCGCUGUCGUCGCUCACUCGGCGCCUCUCUCCCGGACGCCCUCUCCUCGGGACGAUGGCGCGCGGCGGCCGCCGCCUGGGGCUCGUCCUGGGGCUGCUGCUGGCGCUGCUGCUGGCCUGCGGGCGCUGCGGGCCAAUCCCACCGUGCGCAAGGAGCGCGUGGUGCGGCCCGACUCGGAGCUGGGCGAGCGGCCUCUAGGGGACAACCAGAGCUUCCAGUACGGCCAGGAAGCCUUGCUGGGCAAGGAGGACUCCAAGACCUUGGACCAGCUCACCCCGGACAAGAGCAAGGAGAGACUGGGGAAGAUUGUUGAUCGAAUCGACAAUGAUGGAGACGGUUUUGUCACUACUGAGGAGCUGAAAACCUGUAUCAAACGGAUGCAGAAAAGACACAUCUUCGAUAAUGUCGCCAAAGUCUGGCAGGAUUAUGAUAGGGACAAGGAUGAUAAAAUUUCCUAGGAAGAAUACAAACAAGCCACCUAUGGUUACUACCUAGGAAACCCCGCGGAGUUUCAUGAUUCUUCAGAUCAUCACACCUUUAAAAAGAUGCUGCCACGUGACGAGAGAAGAUUCAAAGCUGCGGACCUCGAUGGUGACCUGACAGCUACGCGGGAGGAGUUCACUGCCUUUCUGCAUCCUGAAGAGUUUGAGCAUAUGAAGGAAAUUGUGGUUUUGAAAACCCUGGAGGACAUCGACAAGAACAGGGAUGGGUUUGUGGAUCAGGAUGAAUAUAUUGCGGGUAUGUUUUCCCAUGAGGAGAAUGACCCUGAGCCAGACUGGGUUUUAUCAGAACGGGAGCAAUUUAACAAAUUCUGAGAUCGAACAAGGUCCGGAAGUUGGACAAAGACGAGAUUCGUCACUGGAUCCUCCCUCAAGAUUAUGAUCACGCACAGGCUGAGGCCAGGCAUCUGGUAUAUGAGUCAGACAAAAACAAGGAUGAGAGGCUAAAGAGGAAAUAUUGGAGAACUGGAACAUGUUUGUUGGAAGCCAAGCUACCAAUUAUGGGGGAAGAUCUCACAAAGAAUCAUCAUGAGCUUUGA